CCUACGGGAGGCUGCAGUGGGGAAUAUUGGACAAUGGGGGCAACCCUGAUCCAGCCAUGCCGCGUGUGUGAAGAAGGCCCUCGGGUUGUAAAGCGCUUUCAGUGAGGAAGAACGCCUGGUGGUUAAUACCCAUCAGGAAAGACAUCACUCACAGAAGAAGCACCGGCUAACUCCGUGCCAGCAGCCGCGGUAAUACGGAGGGUGCGAGCGUUAAUCGGAAUUACUGGGCGUAAAGCGCGCGUAGGUGGCUUGAUAAGCCGGUUGUGAAAGCCCCGGGCUCAACCUGGGAACGGCAUCCGGAACUGUCAAGCUAGAGUGCAGGAGAGGAAGGUAGAAUUCCCGGUGUAGCGGUGAAAUGCGUAGAGAUCGGGAGGAAUACCAGUGGCGAAGGCGGCCUUCUGGACUGACACUGACACUGAGGUGCGAAAGCGUGGGUAGCAAACAGGAUUAGAUACCCUAGUAGUC
rnacentral:rRNA from 1 species